UGGCUUAUGGUGUAAUGGCAGCACAACAGGUUUUGGUUCUGUUUGUCUAGGUUCGAAUCCUGGUAAGCCAACCA
rnacentral:tRNA from 1 species